CAGGUGUGUGAGAACCAGAGUCCCUCUGUCCAUCCACACAGGUGUGUGAGAACCAGAGUCCCUCUGUCCACACAGGUGUGUGAGAACCAGAGUCCCUCUGUCCACACAGGUGUGUGAGAACCAGAGUCCCUCUGUCCAUCCACACAUGUGUGAGAGAACCAGGGUCCCUCUGUCCACACAGGUGUGUGAGAGCCAGGGUCCCUCUGUCCACAGAGGUGCCAUCUAUGUCAAGCAGCUCAGGUCACGUUGACACAAGGCUGAGUGCUUCUGCUGAUCUUCACCUACAGGAAGGAAACUGCCACAAAACUCAGUUUUGUGACUGUUUCUGCAGCAGUUCCCAAAUGAACUCGCUUGUGUAGCACAGGAAAAGCCGCUGCUGCACUUCAUUGUAAAAAAGCUGCCCACAGGCUGUAAUGGAGAAUACAAAGGUUCUACAGCUUGUCCUUUAUAAAUUUAAACACAAACAGUGUUGAGCAAAGUGACCACUAUAUAUUUGCUUCAACAUAUUCAAUGUGUUUCAGUAAGAUGUUUUAACUAUAAAUCUAUAUGAAAAAUAGCUAUAAAAUACAGUGUUUCUUGUAUGGUAGUCCUUCAGCAGUUCUUUUUAGAAAAAAAAAAUGUCUUGAAAGUAAAGGCAAUUACACAUUUUUAAAAGCAUUUCUACAUCACAGUUUUGGGCUGUUUCAUGUACACCAAACAUAUUGGCCAGCACUGUAACUCAGAAUCCAAGAGUUUGUCUAUCUCCCCUAGACCCCCUCAAUCCCACAUCGAGAGAGAAACAGGAUAUAGCCAGCACAGCACUGUGAAUCAAAGUCAUGUCAUUCCAUUUGGCCCUGUGCUGCACGUUGCAGUAGGAGCAGCAGUCAGUACUGGUGCAGCUUCUCUUUCUUUUGCCUUUUCUUCUUCCCUGAGAAAAACACUUGGCAAUCUGACUGGAUUUCUGGAAAAUGUCUAGACUACAUUCACAGUGAUUGCAGUGGGAAGCACUGAGCUGCUGGCUUGCCAGUCUCAGCUGGAGAUGGAGAUGAAGAACAUCCAGCAAUCCUGCACAGCUCACAAAGCAGAGACCUUGCAUCUGACAGCUCCCUACACUCAAUCCUGCAUUUAGAGGUUGUGUUUCCUUGUUCUCCUUUGACACAUCCAGAAAAGACCUUCACAAUGUUUUGCUGAAUGCAAAUUAAAUAGACAAUGAAGAAAA